rnacentral:pre_miRNA from 1 species
CUUGUACUCCCUCCGUCCGAAAAUACUUGUCAUUGAAAUGGAUGUAUCUAGAUGUAUUUUAGUUCUAGACACAUCCAUUUUGAUGACAAGUAAGUCCGGACGGAGGGAGUACUUG